rnacentral:lncRNA from 1 species
AGGAUCUACGUGGAGGUUUGUGAGGUGGUGGAGCAGCUAUCACCUGCAGUUAUAUUUAUUAACCCAAAGUGGAUUUCUGUGUCACGGCUGUCUUCGUCCUCUGAUGAUAUAACGAAAUCGUCGUCGGAAAAUGUGGACCAAUACGCAGCAGUUUUCUAGUCCUUCCCGGUUUUGACCGUUCUGCCUGCCCUGACCCUGAGCCUGCCUGCCGUUCUUUACCUUGCCACGCCUAACUGGAUUAUUGACCCCUGCCUGCCCUGACCCUGAGACUGCCUGCUGUUCCCUUUGACCUGUCAUUUGCCUGCCCCUGUAUUACAAAUAAAAGUUUGUUUUUUUGACACUGUCUGCAUCUGGGUCAUACCUGAAACGUGAUAGUACGAACUGGCCAUGACUGACCCAGCAGACUCGGACCAGCUCCGCAACGCCCUCUCCUCCCAAGGAGACACCACUAUAAGGCACGAGGAGUUGCUUCAUGCGCCUCAAUUCCUGGCAGCCUAGGGGGGCCCUACUGUUCACCUUCUCCUACUGGCCGAGAUCCAAGAAUGUCAAACCGGAUGUGCUGUCACGCCGCUAUAGC